GGCUCCAGUGGCCUAGUGGUUGGAGCAUCUGCCUUGGAUGCGGGUGGUCGUGGGUUCAAUCCCCGGUAGAGUCA